rnacentral:snRNA from 1 species
AUUGCUUCUCGGCCUUUUGGCUAAGAUCAAGUGUAGUAUCUGAGGAAGGUGAGAAGGAACUGAGAUUAACGAUGAGUGUAAAGAGGGCUUCGCGUGUGUCUGUAAUGCACUGUAUGUUAAAAGAAGAAUGAAUUCAUUUUUGUAUCUAUGUGAUUGCUAUUAACUAAA